rnacentral:ncRNA from 2 species
AUGAUCCCCGCGGAAGAGACCGGACCUUUGCGUCCGGCGCCGAAGGCGCAACCGCCCCGGAAACGCUCAGGCCAAAGGACCGCGCGGGAGCU